rnacentral:rRNA from 1 species
GACGAACGCUGGCGGCGUGCUUAACACAUGCAAGUCGAACGGAAAGGCCCUGCUCUUGUGGGGUGCUCGAGUGGCGAACGGGUGAGUAACACGUGAGUAACCUGCCCUUGACUUUGGGAUAACUUCAGGAAACUGGGGCUAAUACCGGAUAGGAGCUCCUGCUGCAUGGUGGGGGUUGGAAAGUUUCGGCGGUUGGGGAUGGACUGGCGGCUUAUCAGCUUGUUGGUGGGGUAGUGGCUUACCAAGGCUUUGACGGGUAGCCGGCCUGAGAGGGGGACCGGCCACAUUGGGACUGAGAGACGGCCCAGACUCCUACGGGAGGCAGCAGUGGGGAAUAUGGCACAAUGGGCGGAAGCCUGAUGCAGCAACGCCGCGGGCGGGAUGACGGCCUUCGGGUUGUAAACCGCUGUCGCCUGUGACGAAGCGUGAGUGACGGUAAUGGGUAAAGAAGCACCGGCUAACUACGUG